UGCAGUCCACAGAAGUGGGUCAGUUG
rnacentral:piRNA from 1 species